rnacentral:lncRNA from 1 species
CUGUUCCGAAGGGACACAGGGAGAGCACCGCGGCCGUCCCUGUUCUGAAGGGACACAGGGAGAGCACCGCGGCCUGUGUGACUACUUUAUCUGCAAACAAACCUGGGCCCCCACCCUGCACCUGUACAACAAGUCAGCCAAGUCACGUAAACUCCCCAAACUCAGUUUCUGCCUCUAUGAAGCCGAGAUAAAACUCGAACAACCUCAACUCCCUCUGGCACCACGGCAUCAAGCCAGCAGGUAAUCCUCACCACAAACACAACCAGCUGAAAGACUGACAUUUAUCCCUGUGAUACAAAG